rnacentral:lncRNA from 1 species
CAAUUACCUGACUACCUUGGAGCAGACCCUACUGCCAUCUACCCUGAAAUGCUCAAAUGACUGACGCCUCAUCUCUACCAACACCAUUGAAGCUCUCUGCUGAAUGUGCAAAUCUCCACAAUGUGCACAUCUUUGAGAGAGAAACAAGGACCUUAGUCAAGGGAGGCCACUGAGAACAGUUUACAGAUGGGGCUAUUUCCGCAGUUGCAUUCACGAUACAGAAAAACCACAGAGAAUGUGUAUGUGACAGAUAACCUCAUGCCACAGAUGCACAGAUAGAAUUCAGCCUGGAAAGGGAAAGAGAAAAGAGGAUUGGAUACACAGUGCCCAAAACCAUC